AUUGAACGCUGGCGGCAGGCCUAACACAUGCAAGUCGAGCGAGCGGCGGACGGGUGAGUAAUGUCUGGGAAUUGCCCAGUCGAGGGAUAUCACAGUUGGAAACGACUGCUAAUACCGCAUACGCUUGGAUUGCACAGGUGGGAGUAGCUAGUGGGUGAGGUAAGUGCUCACAAACGCGACGAUCCCUAGCUGGUCUGAGAGGAUGAUCAGCCACACGGGAACUGAGACACGGUCCAGACUCCUACGGGAGGCAGCAGUGGGGAAUAUUGCACAAUGGGGGAAACCCUGAUGCAGCCAUGCCGCGUGUGUGAAGAAGGCUUUCGGGUUGUAAAGCACUUUCAGCGAGGAGGCGUUACUCGCAGAAGAAGCACCGGCUAACUCCGUGCCAGCAGCCGCGGUAAUAC
rnacentral:rRNA from 1 species